AAUUUUGGACACAGGGGGAAACCCUGAUCCAGCCAUCCCGCGUGUAUGAAGAAGGCAUUCGGGUUGUAAAGUACUCUUGGCAGAGACGAAAAGGUAACUCCUAAUACGAAAAACUGCUGACGGUAUCUGCAGAAUAAUCACCGGCUAGCUACGUGCCAGCAGCCGCGGUAAUACGUAGGGUGCAAGCGUUAAUCGGAAUUACUGGGCGUAAAGCGUGUGUAGGCGGUUCGGAAAGAAAGAUGUGAAAUCCCAGGGCUCAACCUUGGAACUGCAUUUUUAACUGCCGAGCUAGAGUAUGUCAGAGGGGGGUAGAAUUCCACGUGUAGCAGUGAAAUGCGUAGAUAUGUGGAGGAAUACCGAUGGCGAAGGCAGCCCCCUGGGAUAAUACUGACGCUCAGACACGAAAGCGUGGGGAGCAAACAG
rnacentral:rRNA from 1 species